rnacentral:rRNA from 1 species
GGCGGCGUGCAUAACACAUUCAAGUCGAACGGAGUUAUAGGAGAGCUUGCUCGAAUAUAACUUAGGUGGCGGACGGUGAGUAACGCGUGAGCAACCUGCCUCUGUGUGGGGGAUAACGACGGGAAACUGUCGCUAAUACCGCAUAAAGUGACCAAUUCGCAUGGAUAAGGUUACCAAAGAUUUAUCGCACAGAGAUUGGCCCGCGGAAGAUUAGGUAGUUGGUGGGGUAAAGGCCUACCAAGCCGACGAUCUAUAGCUGGUCUGAGAGGACGAACAGCCACAUUGGAACUGAGACACGGUCCAGACUCCUACGGGAGGCAGCAGUGAGGAAUAUUGGGCAAUGGAGGCAACUCUGACCCAGCCAUGCCGCGUGAGUGAUGAAGGUUUUCGAAUUGUAAAGCUCUUUCGGAUGUGAAGAUGAUGACGGUAGCAUCUAAAGAAGCCCCGGCAAACUUCGUG